CUUAGAUUAUAUUUGGGCAGACUUGAUAAGGUCAGAAGGUUUUGGACUUGAUUGAUAUUUAAAAUAAUACUUUAGGGGGUAAAGUAUACUUUCCCUUUAUAAAACUAUACUGCAGCAGACAACAAAUUCACGGGCCCACUACUUAGCAUAUAUAUUUACAGGAUCACUCGAGGACAUGACAAGUGGCAACUCACUCAAAACAAUUCACCAACGGCGCAUUUUAUCAAACGCCAUCUCUGCCACCUCUAGCGCCGCCAACCUCUAGCACCGACCGCUUCUCCCAUAAACCACCGUAAAGUCUCUAUCUCUCCUUCUACUCUUCUCUCUUUAUCAUCGCCUCUUCCCCAUGCGCACCAUUGCCCUCCCCUCCUUUCCAUGACUGUCCUACGCCGCCUAGCUCCAAACCACCUAACCACACACCUCAGACACCACCGCAUGCGGCGUCUAGCCACGGUCGCCGCUGCAGUAUGGCAAGACACAACAGUCUGGACACAAGCGCCUCUCUCCGGGAUCGAACCAGCAGCCGAAUCACUCUUCCACGUGAGAAUCGACGUUUUAGACUCUCCAGACCUCGCAGCGUCACACACACGUGCUGGACAGUACUUACAGCUACGCGUCCCCGACGUGGAGAAGCCAUCGUUCCUGGCCAUCGCCUCGCCGCCGUCCGACGCAGCUUCAAAAGGUGCGUUUGACUUUUUGGUGAAGAGCGUGGCUGGAUCGACGGCAGAGCUGUUGUGCGGGCUUAAAAGAGGAGAUGUGGUGGAAUUGAGCCAAGCUAUGGGUAGAGGUUUCGACAUUGAACAAAUUGAGCCUGCCGAGAAAUAUCCCACGGUUCUGAUUUUCGCCACUGGAUCUGGUAUCAGUCCAAUUCGAUCUCUUAUUGAGUCAGGUUUUAAUGCUGAUAAAAGAUCUGAUGUGAGGCUGUAUUAUGGGGCUAGAAACGUAAAGAGAAUGGCUUACCAGGAUAGGUUUAAAGACUGGGAGUCUUCUGGUGUUAAGAUCGUGCCAGUGUUAUCACAACCAGAUGAUAAUUGGACGGGUGAAAGUAACUAUGUACAGGCUGCUUUUUCCAGGGCCAAGCAAAUUUAUAGUCCUACAGGCACUGGUGUUGUUCUCUGUGGGCAGAAACAGAUGACUGAGCAUUUAUGCUUGACACUUGAAACAAUUGAUGACCUCAACUAACUGCACGGAGAGUGAAUUGUUGAGACGACGAGGAAAAUAAAAUGAAAGUGUAGAUCUCAAUAAGCAUAGAUGAUGGUUGUUAUUUUUUGGGAGGUUGAUACUUAGCAAGGGUGGAGACUCCCUUCCCAAACCAAGAGUCACCAUGUGAGAAGCACACUUUUAAGUUUGUUAAUGAGUAGUUAUCCAUUCCUCAAGCAGGGGUUCUGGGCUCUGAGGUCCUGCCUUUGACAUUUACUUAGAGCUGUUUGUCCCUUCUGCUAGGGAGCAGUUGCAUAAGACAUCAAUCAUCUGAACGAGUUUGCAAUGGUUUAGCUACUGGCCUAGCUGUGUUCUAAUACUAAAACAGCUAUUCAUGGUGAGGAGAUUGAUUGAGUAAAAUGGCUAGAAAGCAUCGGUGCUUUGAACUGAAAGGACAAGGAAAUAACAUCAAUUCUUGUAUCAGAUGGAGUCUCAAGUGAGAAAAUUCUGAAGAACUUCUGAAAAUUAUAGACGAGGCUCAUCCUGUUGUAUUUAUUUUGGAGCAACAAUUGAUAGUGAUUCUUUAUUCCCACUGCUGAGGAUAAAAUGUGCCACUCAGCUAAUAAAACCAAUUUUGGAAUUUUGAGCAUCUUCAUUGUUUGUUGAAAUUGACAAAUUGUAACUGCUAGCAGAUAAGUUACAGGAUCCACACCUCUUGUUUUUAAACCCCUUAUUUUUUUAUGACAGAAUCCCGAGUCAUCUUGAAUGAUCCA